rnacentral:misc_RNA from 1 species
AACGCACAUUGCGCCCUUUGGUAUUCCUUAGGGCAUGCCUGUUCGAGCGUCAUUUACAAAUUCAAGCUCAGCUUGGUGAUGGGUGACUGUCCCGCCUUCGCGUGUGGACUCGCCUCAAAUGCAGUUGGCAGCUUGUUCCUCGGCUCUAAACGCAGCAGAUUUGCGUCGAGCGUCGAGCGGACGGGCUCUCCAGUAAGCAAACCCCACAAAUUGACCUCGGAUCAGGUAGGGAUACCCGCUGAACUUAA